UUGAAAGCGGCUUCCGGAAGUUGCAUUUGACGUAAUGGCUGUUAGCUGGAUAGUGGUGACUGGACAGCCGGAGGAGGACCCGCGGGCGGUAUUUGCCAAUGCCAAGGACCGGUAGCUUCACCGGGGAGUUGUCAGCGCUGAGUGAACACUGAAAACGUGUCGUCUUGAAGGCUGUGACAGUUGAAUGUGUGCUGAUAAUGUUGGACGGUAAAACCUGAUGAAGUUCACCAGAGACAUCUGCCGGUUGCUGGGCUUAGGCGGCGAUGGGACAGGUGAGGAGGAGAUGGAGGUUCAGGAUGGACUUCCUGAUCCAGCCAACAAAAGAAAAGACCAAGGAUUAUCUCAGGCCUCACUGAACAAUGAGGAUGGCUGGGAUAAUGAAGAGAGAGCAAGGAGGAGGGCUGAGAGGAGGAGAGCUAAAAGGAAGAGGCAAAAAGAGCGAAAGA